rnacentral:ncRNA from 1 species
GCCCAGUACUGCGGGAGCCCGCCAGUGUGAACUGCGCCAGGGCUGAGAGGGCCAGAGCCGACCGCUGCACCUGAUCCGGGUCAUGCCGGCGGAGGGAAGGAACCAUGGAGAGCA